rnacentral:piRNA from 1 species
UUUAAGGUGUUUCUCAGGAGUUA